UCCCGGCGUCGACUCGUGCGGGCGUGAACUUGACUGCCCCGACCGACGGUGACGCCGUUCCACGGAAGUAUCGAACGGAAGUCCCGGAAAGAAAGCGGAAGGAAAUUGCACGCAUCAAAGGCCGAAUUCACAAAGCUUUCCGUUCGUCCAGGCAGAGAGGUGACGAGAGCGUGGACCUCGAAGAUAGCCGUCCAGUGCGAACAACACACCAAAGAUUGCAGGCGCCAAUGACAGAUACCGGGGAGCAGAAACAAAGCUCUCUUGGCACUGGAAAGCUCGUUGCCAGUGCUUAUUUAGUGUGAUGCCUCGUUAGGCGGAGGACGACGGGCCGGCGCGGUCGCGGAGGAGGAAGAGAACAUGGCGACCCACAGCAGCUGACGGCAGGGGUACCAUAGCAAGGAGAAGAUUGCAGACACGAACGCCCACACGCGGGUGUUCGGUUUCGCGGCACGGCGGUGACAACAACGACACUGUCGACGACAACCAAGGCGAUGAAACGGCCGCCGGCUCGCAGGAGUGGAGGUCCGCGUCGCGAGUGCAACAGCUUCGCCAGACGUGCGACGCCACCCCGUGCGCCAUCAUCCUUCUGCUGCUUCUUCUUGAAUGACGGCGGCUACAUGUCGGAUGACUUCAACAACCAAGGCAUCGUCAGACGCAGCACUCACUACUUCUCCAGGUUACGAGCACCCCCUGUUUCCCUGGGGUAUGCGAGCUCUGCAUCUGAAGCAUGAUUGAGAUCCCUGUCACGAAAUUACGUUGCCGCAGUCUUUCCCUGAACUUUUGCUCACACAGCUCAGGUUUUGUGCUUCUAUGGUCUGUUCGUAGUGAGGAAGAAACAAUACCACCCUUGUUCUAUUUAUUUUAUUUUUUUAUCUCGUCGCCGCAUUACUGCUGCAAGAAAAAAUAAUACUGGAACUACGUCUUCGAAGACUAGGCC